rnacentral:pre_miRNA from 1 species
AGUAUACUCCUCCGUCCAACAAAAAAUGUCUCAACUUUGACCAAUUUAAAUGCAUCUAUACACUAAAUCAUGUCUAGAUACAUCCAAAUUUUGACAAAUUUAAGACAUUUUUUGUUGGACGGAGGGAGUAGUAU